CCAAAUUUUAGAAAGAUUUAUUUAGGCANUUUGAGUGUCCAUCUUAUUUGAAAUUUUUUUAUGAUUAGUAUUUUUGUUGUUAUUAGAUAAUAAAACAUGAAUAGUACUUUAUGUGUGUCUAAUUAUUAUUUUUUUCAUGUUUUUUUUUCAAAUAAGACGGAUGGUCAAAUGUUGGACAUGGAAAUUCAUAAAUGCAUUUAAA
rnacentral:pre_miRNA from 1 species